CACGGCUUCAGAGAAGGGCAAGAGGUCUGUGAUGGAACCAGCUCUUGUUUAAACUAGGGCACAUUGUGAACAAAUGGGUGAAACAAUAGCUGAAAGAUGGAAAAAACACACACAAAUAAUGGACUGCAUCUAACCUGCCCUACUUAGUCAGAGGAGACAGACAGUUUGACUCCAGAGCUGAACGUCAACUGUUUGGAUUCAGCUCUGCAAUGCUCAGAAUAGUUUAUACCACAGUCUAAACUGAGCCACCAGCAAUAGGAUCUCCAGUCCCUGAAAUGUCGGGAGAUCAAGUUCACUCCAGGCAGGAGCUGAAUUUUCAAUCCAGGAGGCUGCAUCCUUGUCUAAAGCUCAGGAUUAUUCAGGGCCACGUUCUGUUUUCCCCUGUGCUGGUGUGGAUACAAGCGAAGAGAGAGGUUGCAGGUGGAUGCUGACCUAGAAGUCUCUGAAUGCUAGGUGAGUAGCCUAGUGAACAUACUCUAUAGGGGUCAUGGUCAGUGAGACAGAGGAUAUCGCUAGACUCCAGCCCCUGGCAUAUCUGCUGACAUCUACCAAUAGACAUCAGUGGUGAAAUCCUGGCCCCACUGAAUUCAGUGACAAAUUUCCCAGUGACUCCAAUAGGGCCAUGACUUCACCCUCGGGAGAGCACAUUUUGCUCCAUUCUAUAGAAGCACCCAGGGACUGCACUGCCCCCAGACCGCCAUGCUCCACUCCACUCGUACCUGUCCUGCGAAGUAAGGUAGCUCAUGGAACUGCUGCUUGACCACAUCUUCCCAAAACAAGUUCACUGUGGUGAAAUACAGCCCCUAAAACACUGCUCUGUCUGCUUGAACACAGCCACACUAAUAGCCAGCAACAAGAAAAUAAACUC